GGCACUUUGGCGGAGUGGUUAACGCGCUGGCCUGCUAAGCCAGUUCCUUCGGGAGCGUGAGUUCGAAUCUCACAGGUGUCG
rnacentral:tRNA from 2 species